rnacentral:rRNA from 1 species
AGCGUAGACGGUGUGGCAAGUCUGAUGUGAAAGGCAUGGGCUCAACCUGUGGACUGCAUUGGAAACUGUCAUACUUGAGUGCCGGAGGGGUAAGCGGAAUUCCUAGUGUAGCGGUGAAAUGCGUAGAUAUUAGGAGGAACACCAGUGGCGAAGGCGGCUUACUGGACGAUAACUGACGUUGAGGCUGAAAGCGUGGGGAGCAAACA